UUGUUGAUUUUUCAUUUGCAGUUCAUUUUUGUUGCUGCUGCAAAUUACUGUGUUGAUAUCGCAACACAUAAACAUGGAUGCUGUGUUCUGCAACGAUGCAUCAGCCAUGCAACUGGUGAGCCCUGGGAGAACUUGGUAGCAGAAAUUUCUGCAAAUGGGCUUCUUCUUGCUCAAGAUGCAUUUGGAAAUUAUGUUGUUCAGUUUAUUUUAGAACUCAAGAUCCCUUCUGCCGAAUCCAAGUUGACAUCUCAGUUCGAGGGUAACUAUGUGCAUCUCUCGGCCCAAAAGUUUGGUAGCCAUGUUGUUGAAAAGUGUCUCGUGGUGUGUAACAAUGAAACUCGAUCAAAAAUCAUCUGCGAAUUGCUGUCUGCAACUUAUUUUGAGCAGUUGAUUCAGGAUCCGCAUGCAAAUUAUGUUGUUCAAACAGCUCUUCGGGUUUCUGAGGGUCCGGUUCACAAUUCGUUGGUUGAUGCAAUUGAGUCCCAUAAGGCGAUCUCACGCAAUAGUCCUUAUUCCAAGAGGAUUUUCUCUCACAAGCUCUUGAAAAAGUGAUGUAUGGUCUUUUGGGAUUAUGUUGUUGUUUAAUCCUCCAACUCCAUUCCAAAGAGCAGUGUGUGUAUGAACUGGUUCUUCGUCUCUUCAUGAGCAUCAAUCACCAGAGUUUUCGUCAAUUUUGGGCGAAAGUAAUUGAAUAGUUGGCCUUUUAUCCAUGCAAUGUGUACAAAUUAUGUUGUCAAUGUACCUUUCAGGGUGAGGGUGAUUUCCAUCUCCUUUGCCUGUUGGACUUUCUCGGUAUUACUAAUUUACUACAUAGUACGUGCAGACAGUAAACAUAAUUUUCUUUUGCAGCACUGUAUCAAUGUAACUUGGAUA